UCAAUUCAAGAAGAUUUUCCAAGAUAAAGGAGAAAUAAGUGAGAAGACUCAUCUACAUAUAAAAAGCCUGACAUUGAAUCACUUACCUAAACUUCAACAUAUAUGUGAGGAAGGAUCUCAAAUUGACCCAGUUCUUGAGUUCCUUGAAUGCUUAAAUGUUGAAAACUGUUCUAGUUUGAUAAAUUUGAUGCCUUCCUCUGUCACCCUUAAUCAUCUCACAAAGUUAGAGGUAAUAAGAUGCAAUGGGCUAAAAUAUUUGAUCACAACUCCUACUGCACGAAGUUUGGACAAGCUCACUGUGCUGAAGAUAAAAGAUUGUAAUUCACUUGAAGAAGUAGUUAAUGGAGUAGAAAAUGUUGACAUUGCUUUUAUUAGUUUACAAAUUUUGAUGUUGGAAUGUUUGCCAAGCCUCGUCAAGUUUUGCUCUAGUGAGUGUUUCAUGAAGUUUCCGUUGUUGGAGAAAGUAAUUGUGGGGGAAUGUCCUCGCAUGAAGAUUUUCUCUGCCAAAGACACAAGCACACCAAUUCUUCGAAAAGUUAAAAUUGCACAAAAUGAUUCAGAAUGGCAUUGGAAAGGAAACUUAAACGAUACAAUAUACAACAUGUUUGAAGAUAAGGUAUGUUUAUUCAUAAUGGCAUUUGGGUUUCUAUUUUCUCUUGUUUUCUUUGGAUGCAUAGUAGUUGAUUUUUAAUUUACAUAAUAGUUGAACUUUGUGGAAAAACAACUAUUUGGAGACUUUGAAAGUACUUCGCAAUAUACUCUUAAAAAAAGUUAAAGAGAUACAUAGUGUCAAAAGAAAGAAAGUCAUAUUUGAUAAAAAGAAGAAAAAAAAUCAUAGAAAUGGACCCUGAGGUUGUAACAAAGACUUCAAAAUUCAAAGAGUUUGUAGUCAUGUUUUAUAAACAAUUAUAAUAAUAUAAAUAUAUGCCGUUAAAAAAAUAGUAAUUUUGAUUUUUUUAGGGUAGUAAUUUUGAUUUGUCUCUUCAUAUAUAGUCCUUAUAAUUAACCAGCUUAGUGAGUGCUGCUAGCCAUGGAGUGCUUUGUCGUGACUUUAUAACGACUUUCAUAUUUCGACAUAUAUAAAACACAUGUAGUUUCAUAACCAUUUUUUAAGAUGAUUUUCUAAAGUACAACUCUACUAUAAAAAAAUACAAGGUAUCCAGUACGUGUAAAUAUUUUAUUAUUUUUUUUAUAAAAAAAAUAAAUAUAUAAAUGUCGAAUGGAUGUUUUGGCAAAAAUUUGUUUGAUUUUACUCCAAUUAAUGCUUACAUUUAAAUGUUUAUUUUGUAUAGGUCCAAUUUAAACAUUCUUUAUUGUUGGAGAAAUAUACUGAUAAAAAUUGAACUUUUUUCUCACUAUAUCACCUGUGUGUGUGGAAAUGAUGAAAAGAAUAAUUUUGAUUUUACAAGAGAUGAAAAAAUUGAUUUAUAUUUUAAUGGAGAUGAAUAAUUUGAUCUUAACCUCGAAGGCGAGUGGAAAAUAGAUUGAUUUAAUUUUUAAUGAAGAUGAAUAAUUGGAGGAGAAUAAGAAAUGUUAACCUUAUAAUUUUCAAAUGUUAGCGCAAUAAAAAUAGCGCUUGUCAGACUACCUUGAGAACCAGCAGACUUCUUUGAGGAAUGAUGCUGAUGUUGUUGAUGAAAGUGUGUUAGCGCAAUAGUUGACAAAAUCUAACUAAUUUUCAUGAAAAUAUAAAUUUUAUAAAAAAAUAUGAUAAUUUAUACGUGUUAGUGCAAUAGAAAGAACUGAUAAACGGUUAAAAAAAAAUAUCAGCGUUAGCCCGUCCAAUGCUAGUAUAUAUAAAGCACGUCAACUGUCCUCGUGAGCUUAGCUCGGUUGGUUUGAACAAUGCAUAAAAUAUGCAAGAUUUGGAGUUCAAACUAGACUACCAUAUAAAAAAAAAAAAAGCACGUCAAUUGAAAGGCAAAUUAGCGUUUAGAUAAAUAUAAUGAUAAUUUAAAUUAUCAUUUUGGAAAAAAAGAUCUACGUGGUUAUUUAUAAAACAAAACACCAUAGAAGUAGUUUAAUACGUGAACUUAUAACUACUAACGCUUAAUAAUGUUUAGAAACUAAAAGUCGUAUUAUAGGUGAUUGCAGCAUUAGCUACAAAGAAUCUACUCAAUAACUACCAACUACUAAUAUUUCUUUUGACUUUUUUUUUUUGUCCGGCAAAAAUUAUUAUGCAUAAGUCAUUUCCUUAUGCACCCUGUAUAAACACUUCACAAAACCAUUAGACAAUUAUUUUGGUUUCUCAUAUAAGACUAUCAAAACCAUUAAACCAUAAUUAUCAGGAACAAACAAAUCAUAAAGAUUUUUAUCUUUAUUUUCUGUUAUCAUUUGAUCAACACGACUUUUUUUCUUUUUUCAACUCCAACUUUUUCGCCUCUUACUCUUAUGAAUCAAUGGUAGUCUUAUGGUUUGAUAUAGAAGAGAUUGUUCAUGCUUUUUUGUAGGCAGGCGAAUAGGUUCAAUAAAAAAUAUGCUUUUUUGUAGGCAGACGAAUAGGUUCAAUAAAAAAUAUUAGCCUUUCCUUCAAGUCCUCAGUGUCCCUACAUUUUGUAUAACAAAAAUCCUUCGUAAUUGAAUCAACCAGCAUUUCUAUAUCUAGCUCUAGCUUUUUAAUCGACAUUAUUACAAUUUUUUAAAAUUUUUUCAUUCUAAGCAGGAGACAAAAUAAGUUGGUAUUAUCCAUUCCUAUUUCUUCGUCGGAACUAUCACAGUGCAAAUAAAAACCCAAAUAUUUUGAUAGUAAGAAAUCAUGUUCUCCCUUUAGAUCGGUCCUGUAUUUAGAAUCUGAUCCUUUAUAAUAGUAUGAGCCAGAUUUAAGAUCUUCAUCUACUGUAUUCACGUAUUCUUCUGUUGUUAACUCUAAAUUAUCAAGCUGCAAAACAAAGAAUUUUAUUGGUAAGAUCCAAGGAUUCAUCUUAUAUGCACAAUAAAAUUUGCUUAAUUUUGAAAAGAACCAAAAUCCGGGAAUAAGGAAGUUAUUCUUCGGUAUAGAAGUCUUUUUCCUUUUUACAUUCAUUCCCAUCCAAUUGAAAUACUUUCUAUCCGGAUUUUUUUCUAGAUUUUUUUCCAUAUCUAGAAUAUCAUAUUCUUCUAGAUAAUUUUGGAUAGAGAUAACGCCUAUUAUAUCCAAAAAUUCUUUUCUACAUAGGUUGUAAUUAUAAGAAAUUUUUGUUUCCUUGCGGUGAUCUAUAUCCAUAAAUAUAGGAUUUUUUCUUAUCCGCAAAAUGAAUAUAUUGAUAGGAGAAAAGAUCAUAUCUAUAUUGUUUUUUAAUUUUGUUUUUAAUUUCUAUUUUUAAUAAGUCUCCUUCUUGUUCUUGUUUUUUGGAAAGAAUUAAUUGAUUUUUUUCAAAUGAAUCAUAUUCAACUAAAUCUUUAUUUUGAGCCACACGAUGUUCAUUGAUUUUAUUCCUCCAGUUUUGUGAUACUCAUCUCGACCAUCUGUUCUCAGGUAAAUCAUAUUGAUAAAGAACCUUUAACCAAUUUGUCCAUUGAUUCAUUAACGAAUCGGGACGUUUCUUAUGUCUUAAUUUGGAAUUAUAUGUUCCUUGUAUUCUAAAAAAAAUAAUCCUUUAUUUCAUUCUUAAGAAAAAAAGAUCUUUCAGGAGAUUCAAAAAUAGAUCUUAACUUAAAUUUAUAUCCAUUACUAACUUGGAUUUGUGAUAAUUUAUAAAAUACAUAUGCUUGUGACAAAGAAGAUACAUCCAAGAAUUCCGUGAAUUCAUAUUCGUAAUAUUCCCAGAUUUGUCUAUAAUCGACAUAAAUGGAAUUAUACUUUGAUUUUCAAUUCUUUUUGCAUUUUUUUUUGUAGUAAAUGGAUUUUUUUACAUUUAGUAUUUUGUCUAUUGAUUCAAGAAAAUAAAAAAAAACGUUGUCGAUGGAUCCUAGCAAUACUACUGAUACGUAAAAGGAUAUCUAUGUAUAUCCCUUCUAUGAAAAUUUUGAAAAAAGAAUAGGAUUUACGUAUUAAUCGAACAAAUCUUCUUUUUAAGAUUUGCAAAAUAUUUUUUUGUAAUUCUAAUCUUUUAGCAUAAGUAGUUUUGUUCGAAUUCAAAUUGAUCUCUGAAGUUAGAAUCCCCUUUUUUUUUUUUUCUUCUGUCAUUGUUUCUAUUUGUUUUAUGAUUGUCUUUGUUUUAACAUUAAGAUCUUCUAUCCUUUUUUCUGUGAAUGAAGAAUUUGUUCAAUUAAUAGAUUCCAUUUUAACAGGUGAUUCCUCAAUCACCUCAAUCUUUAAAUUAUUCUUGCUAAUUGUUGAAGUUUUUUUUUCUUUCACUCAGUUCAUCUAUUGUUUUGAACCUAAAUAGAAUACUUUUAAGUUUUGAUGUUUCAGUUUUCUAUUUUUUUUAACAUAGUUCGAAACCAUUUUUUUCUUUCAUUUAAAAAUUUUAGAACUAGAAAAAAACGCUUUUUCAAAUCUUUUUUCAUUCAUAUCCUAUCAAUUCCAUCAAGAGUGUCUUGAAUCCAUUCAUAUCCUGUCAAUACUGAAUUUCUACAUGAUUAAUAAUUCUGUCAGCGUAGGCAUUUCCUUCUGAAUUUCAAAGAUUCAAACAUUUAAGCUAGCUAUUUCUAAUGUUCCAAGUGACACAAUGAUAGAUUGGGAAGUAGAUAUAACCAACAUGUUAUCCAUUUAAAUCCAAAUAUUCCUCCAACUAUGCUCGUAAGGAGUCUAAAUAGUGAGCAUGACCGUCGUAAUCUGUGCACACAAGGUCGUUGAUAUGCCUAAAUUAGUAGCAAAACCUGCUACAGAUUGGCAUUCGAGUCGCUGAAAAUAUCUGGACAUGAAGCGUUACCAGGACACCCAUGGGCAACAUCGCUUCUGUUACAUUUAACCCGUUUUUAAGCCUCUCAAGCAUGGCCAUCUAUUAUGCUAAGUUCUGGAGUUCCUCAGCCAAGUAAUAACAACAUAAUCUUUAUCCCACUGAGGAAAGUUAGGAGCAAUUACCAGAGGUCUCUUCUAAGAACAUAUGAUAUUUUAAUGGAAAAUAUGGUUUUGGGAUAACAUCCCUGUUAUGGGCAUUGGUUGGAUCAUUUCUGGACUGUUUUCUAAUCUUUUUUAUCAUUUUAUUCUCUAUAUUAGAAAUAACUAUUUGAAAUUUUCCAUGGUUAGGAAUCUCAUGUCAAUGAGUAUUUUUUACUUCAUCUUCAUAGUCAACACCCCAGCGAGUUAAGAUUGAGAGCUUUUUAAGCAUGCAAAGUCGAAGGAACUGUUCCAUCUUCUGUGGGAUAUCAGCUUAUGAACUAUAUUUUACUACUACAUUUGUUUGAAUUAACACGCGAUACAAUUGUUUUUGCAGGUGGGAUUUGGUAGUUUCAAGCAUUUAAAACUAACUGAAUAUCCCGAGCUAAAAGAAUUGUGGUAUGGUCAACUUGAGCAUAACGCAUUUAGGAGUUUGAAGCAUCUAGUGGUUCAUAAAUGUGAUUUUUUAUCCAAUGUGCUCUUUCAACCUAACUUGGUAGGAGUACUGAUGAACUUGGAAAAAUUAGAUGUGAAGAAUUGUAAUUCAUUAGAAGCAGUUUUUGAUUUGAAAGGUGAAUUCACAGAAGAAAUUGCUGUGCAGAAUUCUACUCAAUUGAAGAAAUUAAAACUAUCCAAUCUUCCAAAACUGAAGCAUGUAUGGAAAGAGGAUCCACAUUACACUAUGAGGUUUCAAAAUUUAAGUGUUGUAUCUGUUGCGGAUUGCAAAAGCUUGAUAAGCCUCUUUCCACUCUCAGUGGCUAGAGAUAUGAUGCAACUUCAAAGUCUUCUUGUAAGUAACUGUGGGAUUGAAGAAAUUGUUGUCAAGGAAGAAGGACCAGAUGAGAUGGUUAAAUUUGUGUUUCCUCAUUUGACUUCCAUUGAACUUGAUAAUUUGACCAAACUUAAAGCAUUCUUUGUUGGGGUCCAUUCUCUUCAAUGUAAAUCAUUGAAAACCAUCAAGUUGUUUAAAUGUCCAAGAAUAGAGCUAUUUAAGGCAGAGCCAUUGAAACUCCAAGAAAGUUCCAAAAAUGUUGAGCAAAAUAUCUCAACUUAUCAACCUCUUUUUGUGUUUGAAGAGGUAAGAGUAGCGUUCAAUAUCAUAUCCUGCCUUUUAAUGUACAUGCACAACUUUUUAUAAUGUAUAUAUUAGACAAUUUAUUCACCAUGUCUAUUUCGUUAAUUGAAUGUUAAUGAUUAAUAAUUUUAUGUGAUAAUAUUCUACUGGCACAAGAUAUAAUGUUUUUAAUUGUUUCAAAAACUGGUAAAGAAAAUAUAUAUUUCUUAAGUAUAAUUUUGAUUUUGCAGGAGCUACUUACAAGUGUGGAGAGUACACCUCAAUUCAGAGAGUUGGAAUUAUUGCAGCUGCACAAGCUUAAAUAUAUAUGUAAAGAAGGAUUUCAAAUGGAUCCUUUUCUGCAUUUUCUUGAAAGCAUUGAUGUUUGCCAAUGUUCCAGUCUGAUAAAGUUGGUUCCGUCCUCUGUUACCUUUAGUUACAUGACCUAUUUGGAGGUAACAAACUGCAAUGGGUUGAUAAAUUUGAUAACACACUCAACAGCAAAGAGUCUUGUCAAACUCACAACAAUGAAGAUUGAAAUGUGUAAUUGGCUUGAGGAUAUAGUGAAUGGUAAAGAAGAUGAGACAAACGAGAUUGUAUUUUGCAGUUUACAAACUCUAGAACUAAUUUCUUUACAAAGACUCAUUCGAUUUUGCUCAUGCCCAUGCCCCAUUAUGUUCCCGUUGCUGGAAGUUGUUGUUGUCAAAGAAUGUCCUCGAAUGGAACUUUUUUCAUUGGGAGUUACAAACACAACAAAUCUUCAAAAUGUACAAACCGAUGAAGAAAAUCAUAGGGAGGGUGACCUCAACAGAACCAUAAAGAAAAUGUUUUUUGAUAAGGUAUAUUUUAUUAUCAUCCAUCAAUUUAUUUAGAUCAAUUUUAAGACUAUCUAUCUAGAUCAAUUUUGUAUUGUAGUAGACUAGAAUAUUAAUGCAUAAUUAAAGAUUGCUUAAAAGCAAUUUUGAUUUGUCUUUUGAUUUAUUAAUUUGAAUGAUCAGGUUGCAUUUGGUGAAUUCAAGUACUUAGCCUUAUCUGACUAUCCUGAGAUAAAGGAUUUGUGGUAUGGCCAACUUCAUCACAACAUGUUCUGCAAUUUGAAACAUCUUGUGGUGGAAAGAUGUGUAUUUUUUAUCACAUGUACUUUUUCCAUCAAAUGUAAUGCAAGUGCUACAAACAUUGGAAGAACUAGAAGUAAAAGAUUGUGAUUCCUUAGAAGCAGUGUUUGAUGUGAAAGGUAUGAAGUCACAAAAAAUAAUGAUUAAACAAAGCACUCAAUUGAAAAGAUUAACUGUGUCUAGCUUACCCAAAUUGAAGCACAUAUGGAAUGANNNNNNNNNNNNNNNNNNNNNNNNNNNNNNNNNNNNNNNNNNNNNNNNNNNNNNNNNNNNNNNNNNNNNNNNNNNNNNNNNNNNNNNNNNNNNNNNNNNNGGAUCCUCACCCUAGAAUCCACCAAUAAAUUAUAACAAAAAAAUUCGAAAUUAUAAUAUUACCUAAUUUUUUUAAUUUUGAAAAAGAUUUUAUAAAAUUUCUAGAAUAAAAUUUUCGAAAAAAAAUCUGAAUUUUUUCUAUUGAAAUUUUGGAAUAAAAAUUCUGGAAAAAGAUUAACUAUUUUUUUUAUGUUUUCAAAAAAUAUUAUCUAAAUACCGGAAAAUAUUUUCAAUUUUUUAUUUUAAAAAAAUUCAAGAAAAAUAUUUUCAGAAUUUUUAAUUCUGGAAAAAUAUUAUCUAAUGUUUUGUUUUUUUUAACUAUGAAAAAUAUUUUCCAAUAUUUUUAUUUUUUGUAUAAAAAACUGAACUUUUUAACUUCGAAAGAAAAAUCUGAACUUUUUUUGAAAUAUAUAUUCUAAUUAUUAUAAAAAAAUUGAAAUAAAUUAAGUUCGAUAAUUUUUAAUUUUUUUUUAUAAAAUAAAACUUCUUACUUUUUAAAAAAAUAUGAAUUAUUUUUAUUAUUUUUAAUUUUUCCAGAAUUUAUUAAUUUUUUUAAUAUUUCUAGAUUCUUUUUUUUUUUUUUUAAGAAUUUUUUUCCUUUUUUGAAAAAAAAGGCACAAAUGCCACAUGUACCCAUACAAAAAAUGAAAAACAAAAUUAAUUAUACAGUCUGUACGCCACAUGAUCAGAAAAAAGUGACUCUGCCCCACUAUUAAUUUGUCUCUUUAAUUAUACUAAGAGAUUUGACGCUUUAAUCCCUUUGCAUUUUUGUUUUAUUAAUUUGUCUUUCACUUUUUUGCUAUUUUCCCAUUCCUAUGGCAAAAAAAUUGGAAGUGAUGGAAAGUUAUCUCAUAUUUUCUGCAUCUUUAAUUUGUACCACACUAUUAAGAGGGUUCAUGUUCUUCAAACAUGAUCAACAUACCUUAUGAUCUUUAUUUUUUGUAAUUUAAUCUAUCUGUUCAAAUAUUACAACAAAAUAAUAACCGGUUUUCUUGACGCAUUCCAACCCAAAUUGUUAGCAAAUUCUUUCUAAAAGUUUUAACACCAUUUGGCGAAAACUUACACUAACAGUUAAUGUCGCUUCAUGUCCAAACCCGAGUUUUAACCAGAGAUUUUUUCGUAUUUUACCUACCGUAAUUAGUAUCUUUGACCACAAUAGAUAUCCCAAGGUAUCACUGUGGGCUUUGGCACUUUGGGUCUGCUAUGAGACUAAUUUUCGAAUCGGGAGCAAUUCAUCUAGUUUUUUUUUGUUAGAGGGUUUGGCUACCUCUCAAAUGGGCGACUCUAGGAAUCAAACACACUGUUCUUCUGCUCGAGAUAAUCAUCUUUCCAACUCUCCCACCAUGAUGUUGGUCGAACUCAAUUCCUUGGCUAAGAAUCUUUCAUUAAUUCAGACAUUUUAUAAUUAGAAAUUCUACCUUGAAAUUUUGUUAGGGGUCUUGCUAACCAGUACCUUAGGGACAAAGGUUAAUGAAUUUAUCAUUAGAAAUUUUAUCUUGAAAAUAUAAGUUUUGACUUUUGAUUAUAUUACACCAUUUUCUAUAAAAGGUUACUUGUUUUGGUUGUUUAUCCAAUGCUCGGGGCACUAGUUAGCAUUAUCCUUAUUAUUUUACAUGCUAUUUACUUAUAUCUUUAAUUUUUUUUUAUUGAUUAAAGAAUACUUAUACCUUUAUUUUUUUUAUUGGCUGUCAUGAUUGGUUACACAUGAUUGUAAUGAAAUUCAAUUUGCACAGUCUACCUUUAUUAUGUUCUAUUUAUUAAUUGCAGUUUUUCAUCGAAAAUAAGAGUAAUUUGUUAAUUUUCUCACAUUUUCAAAUGUUGCCCUUGUUUCUUUUGCCCUUAUCCAUAAAUAGUGUAUCUUUUUACUUUCACUUUCAGAUUUUGACUCAAGUCACAAGGAAGAGCAGAAGAAAAAAAAAAUCAAUGGAAAUUUUAAUUUCUAUUGUUGGAAAAAUAGCAGAAUAUACCGUUGUGCCUAUUGGACGUCAAACAAGUUACUUGAUAUUCUACAAAGGUAACUUCAAGACGUUAAAGGAUCAUGUUGAAGACCUUGAGGCUGCAAGAGAAAGAAUGAUCCAUUCAGUUGAAAGUGAAAGGGAAAAUGGUAAAGAAAUUGAAAAAGAUGUUCUGAAUUGGUUGGAGAAAGUGGAUGGGGUCAUUAAAGUGGCGAAUCAGCUUCAAAACGAUUCUCGCAAUGCAAAUGUUAGGUGCUCACCAUGGUCAUUCCCAAAUUUAAUUUUGCGUCAUCAACUAAGUAGGAAUGCCAGAAAAAUUGCAAAUAAUGUUGUUGAAGUUGUUCAAGGGAAAGAAAAGUUUAAUUCAGUUGGUCACUUUCCCCCUCUAGAUGUAGUAGCGUCCUCCUCAACAAGAGAUGGUGAAAAGUAUGACACAAGGGAGUCGCUUAAGGAGGACAUUGUGAAGGCUUUAGCAGAUCCUACUUCACGCAACAUUGGGGUCUAUGGGUUGGGUGGAGUGGGGAAGACCACUCUGGUGGAGAAAGUUGCUCAAAUAGCCAAGGAACUUAAAUUGUUCCAUAAAGUGGUUAAGACAGAAGUUUCUAAAAAUCCAGACAUUAAAAGAAUUCAAGGGGAGAUUGCCGAUUUCAUGGGUCUGCGAUUUGAAGAGGAGACUAUUCUUGGCAGAGCACAACGCCUAAGACAAACAAUCAAGAUGAAGAAAAGCAUCCUUAUCAUUCUAGAUAACAUAUGGACCAUACUUGAUUUGAAAGAAGUGGGGAUACCAGUUGGUGAUGAACAUAAUGGUGAUGAACAUAAUGGAUGCAAAUUGUUGAUGACAAGUAGAGAUGAAGAUGUGUUGCUUCAAAUGGAUGUCCCAAAGGAUUUCACUUUCAAAGUUAAACUUAUGCGUGAAAACGAGACAUGGAGUUUGUUUCAAUUUAUGGCAGGGGAUGUGGUUAAAGAUAGCAAUUUGAAAGAUCUACCAUUUCAAGUGGCCAGAAAAUGUGAAGGUUUGCCUCUUAGGGUAGUGACAGUAGCGCGUGCAAUGAAAAAUAAGAGGGAUGUUCAGUCUUGGAAAGAUGCAUUAAGGAAAUUACAAAGUAAUGAUCAUACAGAGAUGGACCCGGGAACUUAUUCUGCUUUGGAAUUGAGUUACAACUCAUUGGAGAGUGAUGAUAUGAGGGCUCUCUUCUUGCUUUUUGCAUUAUUCCUAGAUGAACAAAUAGAGUACUUUCUCAAAGUUGCAAUGGGGUUGGACAUAUUGAAGCAUCUUAAUGCCAUAGAUGAUGCAAGAAACAGACUUUACAGAAUAAUCAAAUCUUUGGAGGCGGCUUGUCUUUUGCUUGAAGUUAAAACAGUUGGAAAUAUCCAAAUGCAUGACUUUGUUCGUGAUUUUGCUAUCUCCAUAGCACGUAGGGACAAGCAUAUAUUUCUAAGAAAACAAUCUGAUGAGGAAUGGCCAACCAAUGAUUUUCUAAAAAGGUGCACUCAGAUCUUUCUAAAAAGAUGUCAUACACUCGAGCUUCCUCAAACGAUUGAUUGUCCAAACGUUAAGCUUUUCUAUUUGGGCAGUAACAAUUCUUCUUUCAAAAUCCCUGAUGCUUUUUUUGAGGGUAUGAGAAGCCUUAGAGUGCUAGAUUUAACGCACUUGAACUUGUUAUCAUUACCCACAUCGUUUCGGUUAUUAAGAGACCUUCAAACAUUGUGUUUGCAUCAAUGCGUUUUGGAAAAUAUGGAUGCACUAGAAGCUUUGCAAAAUUUAGAAAUUCUUUGCCUUUGGAAAUCUUCAAUGAUCAAGUUGCCAAGAGAAAUAGGGAGAUUGAUUCGAUUGAGAAUGCUUGACUUGAGCCAUUCAGGAAUAGAAGUAGUCCCACCCAACAUCAUAUCAAGCUUGACUAAAUUGGAGGAGUUGUACAUGGGUAAUACCUCUAUUAAUUGGGAAGAUGUGAGUUCAACGGUUCAUAAUGAAAAUGCUAGUCUUGCCGAGCUUCGAAAACUACCCAACUUGACAGCUCUAGAAUUACAAAUUCGUGAGACUUGGAUGUUGCCAAGGGACUUGCAAUUGGUGUUUGAGAAGCUGGAAAGAUAUAAAAUAGCUAUUGGAGAUGUAUGGGACUGGUCUGACAUCAAGGAUGGAACCUUAAAAACAUUGAUGCUCAAACUUGGUACAAACAUACAUUUGGAGCAUGGAAUUAAAGCAUUGAUUAAAGGUGUUGAGAAUUUGUAUUUGGAUGAUGUAGAUGGAAUUCAAAAUGUGCUUCCUAACCUAAAUAGAGAAGGAUUUACAUUGCUGAAACAUCUCCACGUCCAAAAUAAUACUAACUUGAAUCACAUUGUUGACAAUAAAGAGAGAAAUCAAAUCCAUUUUUCCUUUCCCAUCUUGGAAACACUAGUACUUCUUAAUCUUAGAAACUUGGAGCAUAUAUGUCAUGCUCAACCUUCGGUUGCUUCUUUUGGAAGUCUCAGUGUUAUCAAAGUAAAAAAUUGCAUCCAGUUAAAGUAUCUCUUCUCCUUUACAAUGGUUAAAGGACUUUCUCACCUUUGUAAGAUUGAAGUUUGUGAGUGCAAUUCUAUGAAGGAUAUAGUGUUCAGAGACAACAAUUCAAGUGCUAAUAUCAGUGAUGAAAAAAUCGAGUUUCUUCAAUUGCGUUCUUUGACUUUAGAACAUUUGGAGACACUUGAUAAUUUCGCCUCUGAUUAUUUGACACAUCAUAGAAGUAAGGAAAAGUAUCAAGGUCUAGAGCCUUAUGCUUAUACUACACCAUUUUUUAAUAAUGCUCAGGUAUGUUAUUUUGUUUUUAACUUCUUUUGAUACAAAUGAUAUAAUUUUUAACUGUGUGAUAUGUACAAACAGAUUAAUUAAUGAACAAAUUGGUACGUUUAGGGAAAAAACAAUUGAGUAAAAAAAGAGUAAAUGAACUAGAAAAGCUUUUUGUUUUUAAGGAAAACUAGAAAAGCUAAUAGCAGCAUUACAUCGUCAUUUAAUAAAUGAUAAGAAUAUUAACAAUUACAUCUUGCUCAAGAUUUUCAAAGUUAAAAGUUAGUGUUUAUACGUAAGAAAUAUUUAGAUAUAUUUUUGUAUUUGAUGACUUCAUAUUGUUUAGAAAGCAUGUACUCGCUCCGUAUCUUUUUAUUUGAAUAAUUUAUAAAAAUUACGGGUAUUAAGAAAAUUUAUUGGAGUAAUAAAUUUGUCUCAAAUGUAUGUGAUUAUUACUAGAUUAUCUUUAAUUAAAUAUAUAUUUAAGGUUAACUUUUCAUAUAUUCAGACAAAUUGGUAAUAUUAAUAAGGCGAUGCCUUCAGUAAUGAUUUCUGUUAAUUUGUUUUUAUGUAGGUUGCAUUUCCUAAUUUGGAUACCCUUAAAUUGAGCUCACUUCUCAAUUUGAAUUAAUUUUGGGAUGACAAUCAUCAAUCAAUGUGCAACUUGACUAGCUUGUUUGUGGAUAAUUGUGUUGGAUUGAAGUAUUUAUUUUCUUCUUCUUUGGUUGAAAGUUUUAUGAACCUCAAACACCUUGAAAUAAGUAACUGUCAUAUGAUGGAGGAGAUAAUAGCUAAAAAUGACUGAAACAAUGCACUGAAAGAGGUAUGCUAAUUCUAUUAUUGGAGCAUCCAAUUAAUUUUAAAUAAUUAUUUAUUCUGAUGGUUGUUAUUUAUGAAUUCAUAGGUUCGUCUUUUAAAUUUAGAAAAAAUCAUAUUGAAGGAUAUGAACAACUUGAAGACAAUAUGGCAUCGCCAAUUUGAAAUAUUGAAGAUGUUGGAAGUGAACAAUUGUAAGAAAAUUGUGGUGGUUUUUCCUUCUUCAAUGCAAAACACAUAUAAUGAGCUUGAGAAGUUGGAGGUUACAAAUUGUGCUUUAGUUGAAGAGAUAUUUGAAUUGAAUUUGAAUGAAAAUAACAGUGAUGAGGUUACGACACAUUUGAAAGAAGUUACUAUAGAUGGACUGUUGAAGCUGAAAAAGAUAUGGAGUGGAGAUCCUGAAGGAAUUCUUAGUUUUCAAAAUCUAAUAUAUGUACAACUAGAAAGUUGUGCAAGCUUGGAGUAUCUAUUACCAUUCUCCGUAGCCACUCGUUGCUCACAUCUCAAGGAACUUGUUAUAAAAUGGUGUGAAAACAUUAAGGAAAUUGUUGCAGAGGAGAAAGAAUCUAGCUUGAGUGCAGCUUCCAUAUUUGAGUUUAAUCAACUUAGUACUUUAUUGCUUUGGAACUUAACUAAACUCAAUGGUUUCUAUGCUGGAAAUCAUACUCUAGCAUGCCCAUCUUUGAGAAAAAUCAAUGUCUCUAGAUGUACAAAUUUGAAAUUGUUCAGAACACUAUCUACAAGAAGCUCCAAUUUUCGAGAUGACAAACCCUCUGUUUUAACGCAACCACCACUUUUCAUUGCCGAAGAGGUACGCAUAAUAAACACUCUGCAGGACUUGUUUUUAUUUUAUUUUACAUUAAGGAGUUAGCGUUAUUCUUUAAUCUUUUGAAAUACCGAUCAACUACUUCCUCCGAUCCUAAAUAUAUGAAAAGUAUCUUUUCUUUAGGUUCCUUGAAUAAUUAAUGUAUUUGAACUAUACUAUAUAAACUAAAUAUAUCAUUUAUUCAAUGAACCUAAAAAUAAAAAUUUCUCUUAUAUUUAGGACCAGGAGUAUUACUAUUCAUUUAUAAAUUUGGAAAAAUUUAAAACAACCCAAAAACUUUAUAAAAAGACAAAGCAUAUUUAAUGUCAUAAGUUAUUAAAAUAUUUUACAUUAUAGAUAUACUCCCUACGGUUUCGAAUGUGAGAAACAAAACAAAAAAAUUGAUGGUCUCAAAUAUAAGCAAAAAUAUACAAAAGUCGUUCUAUUAAAUGUUACUAUUCCAAUCUCACCCUCAUUAACUUUAUUUAAUUUGUUUCACAUUCCCAUGUUUAACACUUUCUAAAGAUUAUUCAUUGGUUUAGUUCAAAAGUCAUAUUUUCUCGUAAAAUGUUUCUAUCAUUAAUAUCUGAAUGUGUACUAAUUGAGAAAUAACUCCAGAACAAGGGGAAAAAAAAAUAGAAAAAUUGUAUUUUUUUUAUAAUGACUUAAAUACAGUCAUUCCACUUUCUUCAUAGGUGUGCCUUUUUUUUCCUUACAUUCAAGAUAGGAAGGAGUACUUGAUAAUUUCUAUAACAAAAAUUACAACUAGCAAGAGUGGCAUUUAAAUACAAAAUUGAUAAUUUCCAUAAAUUGAUAUAUUUGAGUAUAAAAGAAAUUGAAAAAAGUACAGAGAUAUUGGCAAAAAUUAAAAGGACAAAUUUUAGUCAAUAGUAAUUAUUGUUUCACUCAAUAAUAAAAUGUUUAAUUCUCUUACAUUGUUGUUUAAAUAUGUUUUAGGUGAUUCCAAACUUGGAGCUGUUGAGGAUGGUACAGGCGGAUGCUGACAUGAUAUUGCAAACCCAAAACUCAAGUUCCCUCUUUUGCAAAAUGACCUAUCUUGGAUUGGCUAGCUAUAACACCGAUGAUGCUAGAUUUCCUUAUUGGUUUCUUGAAAAUGUGUAUACUCUUGAGAAUCUACUUGUUGAGUGGUGUUGCUUCAAGAAGAUAUUUCAAGAUAAAGGAUAAAUAAGUGAGAUGACUCAUACACAAAUCAAAACACUUAUGUUUUAUUAAUUACCUAAACUUCAACAUAUAUGUGAUGAAGGAUCUCAAAUUGACCCAGUUCUUGAGUUCCUUGAAUACUUAAGGGUUCGUAGUUGUUCUAGUUUGACAAAUUUGAUGCCUUCCUCCGCCACCCUUAAUCAUCUCACAAAGUUAGAGGUAAUAAAAUGCAAUGUGCUAAAAUAUUUGAUCACAACUCCUACUGCACUAAGUUUAGACAAGCUCACUGUGCUGUAGAUAAAAGAUUGUAAUUCACUUGAAGAAGUAGUUAAUGGAGUAGAAAAUGUUGACAUUGCUUUUAUUAGUUUACAAAUUUUGAAUUUGGAAUGUUUGCCAAGUCUCAUCAAGUUUUCCUCUAGUAAGUGUUUCAUGAAGUUUCCAUUAUUGGAGGAAGUAAUUGUGAGGGAAUGUCCUCAAAUGAAGAUUUUUUCAGAGGGAAACACAAGUACACCAAUUCUUCAAAAAGUUAAAAUUGCAGAAAAUAAUUCAGAAUGGCUUUGGAAGGGAAAUCUAAACAAUACAAUAUACAACAUGUUUGAAAAUAAGGUAUGCUUGAUUUUACCACUUUAUUUCUUGUGUAACAAUAUCAUGAUUUGCUUAUCUAUUAUUGUAAUUUAAAAAAAAAAAUAUUGUUUUCUUUGGAUGCAUAAUAGUUGAUUUUGAAUUUUCAAUGUUAUAAACCUUGUAGAAAAACAACUAUUUUGAAAGUAU
rnacentral:lncRNA from 1 species